rnacentral:tRNA from 1 species
AGCAGAGUGACGUAGUGGAAGCGUGCUGGACCCAUAACCCAGAGGUCCGAGGAUCAAAACCUCGCUCUGCUA